ACAGAAGCGAGUCGGACUGUGCUCGCUGCUCAGCGCCGCACCCGGAGGAUGAGGCUUGCCGUGGGAGCCCUGCUGGUCUGCGCCGUCCUGGGCAAACGAAGCGGAUGCUGUGACACUGGAUGCAGGUUUGGUGUAUGACGCUUACCUGGCUCCCAAUAACCUGAAGCCUGUGGUGGCAGAGUUCUACGGGUCAAAAGAGGGUAAGUUCUCCCUGGGACCCCAGGAAGGAGUUGUCAUCCUUAUUCUAUAUGCUGAGUGCUGUGUUUUACAGGCAGGUUUUGGAUAUCAGAUAUAAUGAACAUUCAUCUUUGGAGAGUGAGUAGAGAAUGAGGGGCCCUGUCAGCUGCCACAGCCACACAUCAAGGCCUCUGGGGGCUUUGGGCUGGCGGGCUGGUGCUCCUAAAACUGAGCCCUGGGCCAGGGGGAUAUGCUUAUCAGAGAAACACAGCAGGCUGUGUGCAGCUUGCCCUGAAGGCUACUGCGGUCUACUGAUAUGUCUAGGGUCCCUGGAGGCCUCUGGAGCCAUAGGUACCACUCACACAGGAGAGGUCACUCUGGAGCACACACUCAGAUG
rnacentral:sRNA from 1 species